rnacentral:rRNA from 1 species
AUACGGAGGGUGCAAGCGUUACUCGGAAUCACUGGGCGUAAAGCGCGCGCAGGCGGCUCGAUAAGUUGGAUGUGAAAGCCUACGGCUCAACCGUAGAACUGCAUCCAAAACUGUCAGGCUAGAGUGUGGGAGAGGAAGAUGGAAUUAGUUGUGUAGGGGUAAAAUCCGUAGAGAUAACUAGGAAUACCAAAAGCGAAGGCAAUCUUCUGGAACACUACUGACGCUGAGGCGCGAAGGCGUGGGGAGCAAACAGGAUUAGAAACCCUAGUAGUCC